GCGCUCGUAGCUCAGCUGGAUAGAGUAUCUGGCUACGAACCAGGCGGUCAGAGGUUCGAAUCCUCUCGAGCGCGCCA
rnacentral:tRNA from 1 species